rnacentral:rRNA from 1 species
AUUGAACGCUGGCGGCAUGCCUUACACAUGCAAGUCGAACGGCAGCACGGGAGCAAUCCUGGUGGCGAGUGGCGAACGGGUGAGUAAUAUAUCGGAACGUGCCCAGUCGUGGGGGAUAACGCAGCGAAAGCUGUGCUAAUACCGCAUACGAUCUACGGAUGAAAGCGGGGGAUCGCAAGACCUCGCGCGAUUGGAGCGGCCGAUAUCAGAUUAGCUAGUUGGUGGGGUAAAAGCCCACCAAGGCGACGAUCUGUAGCUGGUCUGAGAGGACGACCAGCCACACUGGAACUGAGACACGGUCCUGACUCCUACGGGAGGCAGCAGUGGGGAAUUUUGGACAAUGGGCGCAAGCCUGAUCCAGCAAUGCCGCGUGCAGGAUGAAGGCCUUCGGGUUGUAAACUGCUUUUGUACGGAACGAAACGGCUCUUUCUAAUAAAGAGGGCUAAUGACGGUACCGUAAGAAUAAGCACCGGCUAACUACGUGCCAGCAGCCGCAGUAA